UCCCAUGUGUCAGCAGCAGCACAUCGAAGA
rnacentral:piRNA from 1 species